rnacentral:rRNA from 1 species
GACGAACGCUGGCGGCGUGCUUAACACAUGCAAGUCGAACGGAAAGGCCCUGCUUUUGUGGGGUGCUCGAGUGGCGAACGGGUGAGUAACACGUGAGUAACCUGCCCUUGACUUUGGGAUAACUUCAGGAAACUGGGGCUAAUACCGGCUAGGAGCUCCUGCUGCAUGGUGGGGGUUGGAAAGUUUCGGCGGUUGGGGAUGGACUCGCGGCUUAUCAGCUUGUUGGUGGGGUAGUGGCUUACCAAGGCUUUGACGGGUAGCCGGCCUGAGAGGGUGACCGGCCACAAUGGGACUGAGAUACGGCCCAGACUCCUACGGGAGGCAGCAGUGGGGAAUAUUGCACAAUGGGCGGAAGCCUGAUGCAGAAACGCCGCGUGCGGGAUGACGGCCUUCGGGUUGUAAACCGCUUUCGCCUGUGACGAAGCGUGAGUGACGGUAAUGGGUAAAGAAGCACCGGCUAACUACGUG